rnacentral:rRNA from 1 species
UACGUAGGGUGCAAGCGUUGUCCGGAAUUAUUGGGCGUAAAGAGCUCGUAGGCGGUCUGUCGCGUCGGCUGUGAAAUCCCGAGGCUCAACCUCGGGUCUGCAGUCGAUACGGGCAAACUGGAGUGUUGCAGGGGAGACUGGAAUUCCUGGUGUAGCGGUGAAAUGCGCAGAUAUCAGGAGGAACACCGGUGGCGAAGGCGGGUCUCUGGGCAACAACUGACGCUGAUGCGCGAAAGCUAGGGGAGCAAACGGG